rnacentral:rRNA from 1 species
CAAUAGCGUAUAUUUAAGUUGUUGCAGUUAAAAAGCUCGUAGUUGGAUUUCGGAUGGGACUUGCCGGUCCGUCGUUUCGAUGUGCACUGGCCAGUCCUAUCUUGUUGUCGGGGACUAGCUCCUGGGCUUCACUGUCCGGGACUAGGAGCUGACGAGGUUACUUUGAGUAAAUUAGAGUGUUCAAAGCAAGCCUACGCUCUGAAUACAUUAGCAUGGAAUAACACGAUAGGACUCUGGCUUAUCUUGUUGGUCUGUGAGACCAGAGUAAUGAUUAAGAGGGACAGUCGGGGGCAUUCGUAUUUCAUUGUCAGAGGUGAAAUUCUUGGAUUUAUGAAAGACGAACUUCUGCGAAAGCGUUUGUCAAGGAUGUUUUCAUUA